CUCCCCUUCUCUUCAUAGCAGAGAAUCAGACACCCAAUCAAUCACAGCAAAAGUGCUCACUGUGCCUGACAUUGCUGUUCUACCUAAAAUUAAUCAGCAUUGACUGAGCAUCUCCCUAGGUCAGGCUCUAAGCUGGGUCCAGUGGAGCGACAGAGAUGAGUAAGACAUGACCUCUCCCGGUGCCAGAAGCAGUAUGGGGCAGUGGUGAUGGCAUGCCUUUUGGGACCUGGCAGACCCUAUUCCUUACUAGCUCUGUGUGCUUGCACUUAUUAUUUCAUUUUGUUGUUGUUGUUGUUUGUUUGUUUUCCCUUAGUUUCCUUAUCUGUAAGAUGAAGAGGAAUAACAGCACCAUUUUAAAGGACUGUUUAGUGAAUAAAUUAAAUAAUCAAUUUAAAGUACUGAUCACAGAGUUUAGCAGGAAUUUGACAUCGAGAGCAUCCUCAUGAAUUCUACUGUCAUGUUGUGUGGUACAGACUGAAGGUUUGUGUUCCACCAAAAUUCACGUGUUGGUCUAAUCCCCAAUGUGACGGUAUCUGGAGGUGGGGCUUUGGGAGGUGAUUCCAUCCUCAGGAAUGGGGUUAGUACCAUUAUAAGAAGAGACACAAGGUGAUCAUUCUCUCAGUCAUGUGAGGAUACAGAGGGAAGGUGUAUGUCUACAGGCCAGGAAGUUGCCCUUCACCAGGCACAGUUCUAUUGGCCCCUUGGUCUUGUACUCCCCAUCCUCCAUAAUGGUGAGAAAUAAAUGUUUGUUAUUUCAGCCAUCCAGUCUGUUAUGUUUGGUAUAGCAGGCCAAACUUAUUGAAACAUGAUGGUAGACAGAAUUCUAAGCCGACUCCCAAGAUUCCACCUCCCUGGUAUACAUGUCUUGUAUGAUCCCUUAUGCUUACAUGAGGAUGGAAAUUUUGACUAUGAUGGGACAUCCACUCCCUGGAUUAGGUUGUGUUACAGAGCAAGUGCUGAUGGAAUAGUCAUGUGUGUGAUCAUCUGACAUUGUAGGAGACUCUGUUGUGUUAGACUUGAGGGGUUUCAGAGUCAGGAGUUUGGGAGCAUGAGAGGGUAUGCAGAGAGAGCCAUGCUGAGAUUGUUCCCUGGUCGACAUCCAGUAAGAAAGCAGAAGACUCAGUCCCACAGCCACUGGGAACUGAAUUCUGGCAACAGCAAUGUGAGCCAGAAAGAGGGCCCCAAGCUCCAGAAAGGAACACAGGCCAGCUAAUACUGUUGAGACUCUAGUUGGAGCAACUAGUUCAGCUGUUUCCAGAUUUUUCACCUGCAGAAGCCAUGAGAGAAUAAAUGGUGUUCAUUCAAGCCAAUAAUUGUGUGGUACUUGUUACUCAGAAAUAGAAAACUAACAUAUGUGUGAAGAAAUGCUUUAUAUAAUUAUCCCCCUUCAACUGUGUUUGUUUUUUCAAGUACAUUAAAAAAAAUUGAGAGUAAACUUUUAUGUGUAAUCAAGGGAGAUGUUUAGAAAGGGAUCUCUUCACAGAAAGGCUUCAGGAAGGAGAGAGAAUUUGGGGAAACUUCACCAUGAUACGAUGAAGAUGGGUGAGUAGAGCUGAGACUGUCACUUGGGAUAAGAUUUUGACUUGCAGGAAGGCAUGGAAGAUACUGGCAAUAUAAGCUACUGGCUAAAAUUAUUUAAAAAUGAAAAAUUCAAUUUCAAAUUUUUUUUUUUUUUGAGACUGAGUCUGGCUCUGUCGCCCAGGCUGGAGUGCAGUGGCCGGAUCUCAGCUCACUGCAAGCUCCGCCUCCCGGGUUUACGCCAUUCUCCGCCUCAGCCUCCGGAGUAGCUGGGACCACAGGCGCCCGCCACUGCCUGGCUGUUUUUGUAUUUUUUAGUAGAGACGGGUUUCACCGUGGUUAGCCAGGAUGGUCUCGACCUCCUGACCUUUGUGAUCCGCUCAGUCUCAGCCUCCCAAAGUGCUGGGAUUACAGGCUGAGCCACAUCAUACCGCCACAUUGGGAGUUUUAAGUAGAGGAUUUAACCAACAGUUUUUGCAGUUACGAAAGGGGAACAAAGAAACUGUAAGGACUCUGCUAUUAAUCGCAGUUAGAGAUCCCUGUCAAACAAAGAUGACUAAAGGUUGGCCUUACAAGAAAUGUACCUCCCAUGUUUAGCUCCAGACUUUGUAUAAACAACUAUAUUAGAAAAUCCUAGAAGGCCUUCAAACUCAUCAAGUCCAUUUCCAAAUUUAACCAUUACUGUCUCCUCCAAGACUUAUGAUGAAGUUUAGUUGCCAAUGUAAGAGUAUUAAGAGGUGGAGGCCAGGCGCAGUGGCUCACGCCUGUAAUCCCAGCACUUUGGGAGGCCGAGGCAGGCAGAUCACGGUGGUCAGAUGGAGAUCAUCCUGGCUAACCUGGUAAAACCCCGUCUCUACUAAAAAUACAAAAAAAUAAAAAAUAAAAUAAAAAAAUUAAAAAAAUUAGCUGGGCAUGGUUGCAGGCACCUGUAGUCCCAGCUACUCAGGAGGCUAAGGCAGGAGAAUGGCAUGAACCCAGGAGGUGGAGCUUGCAGUGAGCCGAGAUCGCGCCAAUGCACUCCAGCCUGGGCAACAGAGUGAGACUCCAUCUCAAAAAAAAAGAGGUGGAACCCUUAAGAAGUAAGUAGGCCAGCAGGGCUAUACCAUGCUCUAAGUUAGGAUUAAUCACAUUGCAAAAAUGUGAGUUCAGCCUUCUCUUGCUCUCUCUCACUCUCAUACCUUCUACCAUGUAAUGAUAUAACAAGAAACCUUUGAACAGAUGUUGACACAUCGAUAUUAAAAUCCGCAGCCUCCAGAACUGUUAGCCAAUAAAUCUCUUCAUUGUAAACUACUCAGUCUCAGGUAUUCUGUUAUAGUAGCACAAAACGGACUAAGACAACCCUCUUUACCACAAAUACCUGAUAAUGUCUUUAGAUCGCAAGUUGGUGGAGGGACUGACCAUCCACACCAAGUUGUCAGGCAAACACUUUGGAACUAGCCUCCUCCCUAUCCCUUGUAUCCCACACACUUACCAUCUUGAUGCCAUGUCUCUGAAAUUUCCUAACAAUACUUAGUCAAGCUGGGAUGAGGUUAAUGAAAGAGUUUUGCCCACUUGGAAGGGUCUUUUAAACGUAGAGAACAUGUGAUUGUCAAGAAUGCUGAAGGAGAUACUCAGGGUCAAGACCGUUUUCUUAAUCUCCCUAAGAUAACAUCAUGGGACACUACCUGUUGCUGGGUACUCUGUGGCUUUUACACUGAUGCUGAUGGUGUGAGAUCCAGAAAAAGAAAAUGGGGUUCUACAUGUCCGUGUCACAGCAGUGGUCAUCAAAUCCUGCCAGUGGAACAGAAGUUGACAUCUAGCUUCCACCCUCCUUCCUCCCAGGCUAGGGGAGCAGGUGGAGUGGGGGGCAUUAGGUGAGCACUGCCAGUGUUGUCAUAGAGUGGCACAGUCCUCCAUGGGGUGGGAGUGGCACAUGGGAGGCUUCUGCACCAUGCACUGGCUCCUAGUUACAUUGACAUUGGUGGGGAAGGAGGCAAGUCAAAAUCAAAAUAUAAAAGUGUAACCACAGAGUGGCUUGUGUCCUGGUGGACCUAAAGUGGUGCACAUGAUCUUUUUGUAAGGAAUCCAGGAAUCGCUGUUACUUGGCCACAGACCUUUCCCAUUAUGAAAUUUAUGGGCCACUAAUACUAAAUACUUAGAAUUUCCUAAAUAUGCUCUGCUCUUUCCUGCUGAACCCUUGGUCUUGGAUGUCCUCCUCCAGUUUUGCUUCUGUCAAACUCCUCCUCAUCCUUUAAAUGUAGGCAUAAAUAUUUGCAUUGGGUACCAAUGAACAGAAUGGAACUUUCAGGUUAAAUAUUGUCAUUUUUUCCUUUAGGUAUUCAUUUUGGAUGUAAUGGUUAUCCCUGCCUCCCUGCUGGCUAAAAUGAGUACAAACUAUGUACAUUCACAAAGUUCCAUUAUGGAGAGGGGAUCGGCAAAUAGAGAAAUUCUUGAUUCCAGAGUCAAAAUUUGCUGGAAGUCACUCCAGCCUGGUCAACAAGAGCAAAACCGUGUCUCAAAAAACAAAACAAAACAAAACAAAAACAAUAGAUAAUAACUUGCAAUAAGUUCUAUUUGUCACAUUCUUCAUGCAUUUUCUUACUGAAACUUCAACCUAAACAAUGACACUAGGAGGUAGGUUUUCAUAUUAUUUCCAUCUUAGAGAUUAUAUAAACUGACACUUAGCAGGAUUUGUAACUUGCUCUGGUUGUUAGUAUAGAGUUCGAGGUUUGAUAGACCUUUGAUACAGAGAUGUUUAAGGAUUCUUAGAAAGAGAGAAUAAAGUUGAUUUGUAUUAAUUUUGACACUUCAUUUUUUUUUUUUUUGAGAUGGAAUUUCACUCUUACAGCCCAGGCUGGAGUGCAAUGGCAGGAUCUCAGUUCACUGCAACAUCUGCCUCCCAGGUUCAAGGGAUUCUCCUACCUCAGCCUCCUGAGUAGCUGAGAUUAUAGGCAUAUGCUACCAUGCCUGGCUAAUUUUUUUAUUUUUAGUAGAGACAGGGUUUCACCAUGUUGGCCAGGCUGGUCUUGAACUCCUGACCUCAGGUGAUCCACCCACCUCAUUUACACUAGAAUUAAUGUCCUAUCUAUAAACCAACUUCUGAUGAUUGGAAAAAGAUGGUCUUUGUGACUCUUUAAAAAUUAUGUACGUGUGAAUACAUGCACAUAAUUUGGAGAAUACAGGACAGCAGAAAGAAGAAAGGAAAAGGAAUCUAUAAUCCCACAGCCUAGAAAUAAUCAGUGUCAAUGUUUUAUUGAAUUUCUAC
rnacentral:lncRNA from 1 species